GCUAGAAACAGCUUUAAAUCCCCAGCUUAUUGUUAAAACAAACAGGCUCUAAAUCUGCUAAAAUCUGAGUUGAACAGUAUAAGUACUAGUAGUAAAAAACUCGAAGAUCGUAUUUUACUGAAAUAUGGAGAAGCCGCAUAUUCUAGCCAUACCAUAUCCCUUCCAAGGCCAUGUACUUCCCCUAAUGCAGCUUUCUCUAAAACUAGUUGAACAUGGUUUCAAGGUCACAUUUGUGAACACCGAGGCUGUUCACAAGCGCGUUGUGAGUGCAUUCUCUGAGGAAGACAAUGUGGAAGAGCUUAUAAAUUUGGUUUCAGUCCCGGAUGGACUGGAUCCUGAGGAAGAUAGGAAUGAUAUAGCCAAGUUGACACAAGCUAUGUUUCGAGUCAUGCCUGGAGAGCUUGAGCAACUUGUCAGAGAUAUUAACCGCGCAGAUGAUAAAAUUACCUGCAUUAUUGCGGAUGAAACAAUGGGAUGGGCACUGGAAUUUGCUGACAGAUUCAAGAUUAAAAGAGCUGCUUUCUGGCCUGCAUCAGCUGCGCUGUUGGCCUUGAAAUUAAGCAUCCCGAAACUUAUUCAAGAUGGAUUUGUAGAUAAUGAUGGAAAUGUAUUAAGAAGUGAAAUGUUUACUCUAAGCACAUCAAUGCCGGUCAUGAACUCUAAAGACUUUGCUUGGACCUCUGCUGGUGACUCCAACGCAGCGAAAAUCAUGUUCAGAAUUUUUGAAGGAACCAAUAGAACUGUGAAGCUGGCUGAGAGGAUUAUUUCCAACACAUCCUAUGAGCUAGAGCCUGCUGCAUUGAGCUUAUUUCCAGAAAUACUGGCAAUAGGCCCUUUUCUUGCAGACAACCGGCUUGGAAAAUCAUCAGGCUCCUUCUGGAGGGCUGAUGCAAGCUGCCUGGCAUGGCUAGACCAGCAGCCAAACCAAUCAGUCAUAUAUGUGGCAUUUGGUAGCUUCACAAUUUUCGACCAAAAACAGUUCCACGAACUGGCUACUGGACUUGAGCAUACCAACAGGCCAUUCUUGUGGGUGGUCCGGACUGAUAUGAUGGACGGAAAGUCUGAGGAUUUUUUGAAAAUAUUUAAGGUCCGAAUAGGGCAGCGGGGUAGAAUAGUGGGCUGGGCUCCUCAACAGGCUGUUUUGAAUCAUCCUGCGAUAGGUUGUUUCUUGAGUCAUUGCGGUUGGAACUCUACAAUAGAAGGUGUAAGCAAUGGUGUGCCGUUCCUGAGCUGGCCUUACUUUGCCGAUCAGUUUCUUAACCAAACCUACAUUUGUGAUGUAUGGAAGGUUGGGCUUGCCCUUGAUAAAGAUGAAACCGGGAUCAUCACCAGAGGAGAAAUCGAGAAUAAGGUGGAAAAGUUGUUGAAUGACAAGACUUUCAAACAGAGGGCUUUGAUCUAUCAAGAAAUGGUUAUAAGCGGCGCUCAAGAGAGCGGAUGCUCUAACAAAAAUAUGAGCAACUUCAUUCAAUGGAUCAAGUAUUGAAGGACAUUAUACCAUGUCCAUGAAUAAAAGUUUCUAGAUCUAUAUUAGUAGCCUCAUACUUGCAUUUGGGUAAAAACUAAAAUGUAAUAGCUUAUAUGGCGCUAAUGCUUGCAUUUCGCCACAAGCAGAAAUAAUCACAAACUCUCUUCUCUUCCUUACUGAAGAUUGCAGUUGCACACACGCAAGGCUACCCUCAACAUCCUACAAGGACAACUAGGGAGAUAACGCUAACAAAGAGGUCUUCAGGGCAUCUAUGUGAUCCAGCCUCUUUAGGCCUUCUAUUGCGUCGAACUACUGUGGAAAACGUUCUUACACUUCUAGGAGGCAGGGCACUGACCUUGUUGGAAGCAGUGGCGAGACAUAGCCCAAGAUUCGAAAAAGAAAAUCCUAAAUAUCUCACAUCUCACAUCAACGUUUAUUACAGUCUAAGUAUGGAGAUAACAUCUCACAUCGCAUAAAGAUAUUGUAUUUUACAUAUGUAACUACUCUUUAGUUAUGUUUGCUAUAAGAUUAUCAAUGUCC